UCAUUUGCACAAGAACAGCAAGGUGGAAAUCCACCCCUAUUAUCCAGUCAUCUACAACCAGGCCCCUUCCCCAACACUGGGAAUUCCAAAUCAGAGCCAAGCCAGAU